GAUGAACGCUAGCGGCAGGCUUAAUACAUGCAAGUCGAGGGGCAGCAUGUCCCGACGCAAGUCGGGAUGAUGGCGACCGGCAAACGGGUGCGGAACACGUACAGAACCUUCCUUCGAGCGGGGAAUAGCCCAGAGAAAUUUGGAUUAAUGCCCCCUAGUAUUACGGAGUGGCAUCACUUUGUAAUUAAAGAUUUAUCACUUGAAGAUGGCUGUGCGGCUGAUUAGGUAGUUGGCGGGGUAACGGCCCACCAAGCCUGCGAUCAGUAACUGGUGUGAGAGCACGACCAGUCACACGGGCACUGGGACACGGGCCCGACUCCUACGGGAGGCAGCAGUAAGGAAUAUUGGUCAAUGGACGAAAGUCUGAACCAGCCAUGCCGCGUGGAGGAUGAAGGUCCUCUGGAUUGUAAACUUCUUUUAUAUGGGACGAAAAAAGGCUUUUCUAAGUCGUCUGACGGUACCAUAUGAAUAAGCACCGGCUAACUCCGUGCCAGCCGCCGCAGUAAAAC
rnacentral:rRNA from 1 species